ensembl:lncRNA
AGCUAAAGUGUGUUAUGAUUCAGGGUUAUGGAUGUUUUGCACUGUUUUUGUCUGCCACACCAGAGGGUGGCGUAGUUUGUGUCCUGUGUUAUUGAUGUUAUGUGAGUUCCUGGUGGAGGCUGACCAUUGGUGGAGGACUGGGAGAUGCCGGCUAUAAAUGAGGACCCUUCUGAACCGGCACGCCCCCUGCCUACUUCCUGUUCCCAACAUACUUCCUGUUCCCAACGAACUGUGCAUGUGGCUGCGUAUGAAUCUGUAUGAGUAUGAAUUCUGGAAUGCGAAGCUUUUGCUGUGUUGUAAAUAGUUUUGUUGUGAGAAGCCAUUUUCUUUUGGAGCCUUUUCUCCUGCUUUUGGUUAGGGAGGCAGGUAAGAAACCUGUAUUUUCUUUUGGGGGUUUUGUUUGUUGUUUUGGCCAUGCUCACCCUGACGCCCGCUACCUUUUGGGACUUAAUAAACUGACUGGAUAUUGUAAAUCUGUGGCAGUUUUUGGUUCGUCUUCCUUGAGAGCAGGGAGUGUGGGGGCAUUUUCCUUUUUUUUUUUGUUGAGUAUUGCAGCAUCGACAGCGAUCAACUCGAAGGGAAAUGAUGACGGAGGCAAAAAUGUCCUUAAUAUUUUAUGAACUUUAUUCCUCUUCAACACACGGCAAAAACUUUUUUUUCAUAGGUGCCGUAUCUAUUUCUCUUCUUCUUCUGUUUUAGGAACGUACAAUGAAACAGUGCCUCCUUGUGGUGAGCACUAAAACACUGUCUCUGUUAAACCACAGUAACCAUAAUGCAGUUAAACACUGUACAACAUGAGUACACACAAUGAAUAUCUUAACACCCCCUCUUGUACUCAGGUUGCUGGAAUCAAAGAAAAGUUGUACAAUAAACGAUAAACAGUCGUACAAUCUCUACCACACUUCCUUUUUUUUUUUUCUCUCUCUCUUUUUUCUUUUAAGCACCAAACAUAACGUUAGCAAACUUAGCAAGUUUUAGCUUAGAAACAGGUUUGGUCAUAACAUCUGCAACCAUUUCUUCAGUGGUGCAAUAUAACAGACACAUUUUUCCUUCAUUUACAAUGGACCUUACAAAAUGAUAUUUAAUGUCCACAUGUUUGCACCUCUGUCGGCUCACAGGGUUUUUAGCCAGGGCAAUUGUUCCCUGGUUGUCCUCGUACACUAUUGUUUGAGUGUAGCUGUAGUCAUCUAUACCUUUCAAAAGCUGUUCUAAAUAUAUACACUCUUGCAUUGUGGAAGCCAGAGC